rnacentral:snoRNA from 1 species
AAGACUAUGUUUUCAGCUUUAGUUUCUAUAGUUUCUUCCUAGGAAAUGUGUUUUGAAAGUGUUGCAUCUCCCAAUCCAUGAUGAAGAGUGAUGAUGCCCUUUUCUAAGUUUGAAACUGGUGUAGAGAAUUAGUUUGUUUAAUAUUCUCUACACUGUUGAUAAAUAUUACUGACUGCUUAAAGCUUUUCUGGAGAAGAAGAGUAUUAGCUAAGUGGC